rnacentral:rRNA from 1 species
GUAGUUUGACUCCGUGGCUCGAGGACGACGCUGGCGGCGUGCUUAACACAUGCAAGUCGAACGGGGUGCCUAUGAAAGAGAUUUCGGUCAAUGGAUUAGGUUACUUAGUGGCGGACGGGUGAGUAACGCGUGGGGAACCUGCCUUUCAGAGGGGGACAACAGCUGGAAACGGCUGCUAAUACCGCAUGACACAUAUUUAUCGCAUGGUAGAUAUGUCAAAGAUUUAUCGCUGAGAGAUGGCCUCGCGUCUGAUUAGCUAGUUGGUAGGGUAACGGCCUACCAAGGCGACGAUCAGUAGCCGGACUGAGAGGUUGGCCGGCCACAUUGGGACUGAGAUACGGCCCAGACUCCUACGGGAGGCAGCAGUGGGGAAUAUUGGGCAAUGGGCGCAAGCCUGACCCAGCAACGCCGCGUGAAGGGAGAAGGCUUUCGGGUUGUAAACUUCUUUUAAGAGGGAAGAGCAGAAGACGGUACCUCUUGAAUAAGCCACGGCUAACUACGUG